CAGACCAAAUCACACCACUGGCUUUCCUGGUUCUCCAGCUUGCAGAUGGCAGGACUUCUUGGCUUCCGUAAUUGUGGGAGCCAAUUCCCCUAAUAAAUAUCUCGAGCAAGUUUGCCAACCUGUAUCUUAAUUCAUCUUUGUGGCCAGAGAAGUGGAUUUACUGAUUUGUUUCAGCUGAUCAAUGUCUAUAACAAGCAAUGUUGAUGGGCUGAAAACCACACAGACUACCAGAGGGGUUGCUUUUCCGAAGAAUCAUGUAAGGAUAAAAGAGAAAGAAAGAGAGAAAGACCUUGGAACCCAACUAGUAUCUACCAAAUAGACAGGAUCUCACUGUGUUGCCCAGGCUGGUCGCCAACUCCUGGCCUCAAGUGUUCCUCUGGCCCUGGCCUCCCAAAGCACUGGGAUUACAGUUCUCUUCAGGGAAUUUUGUCUGGUUCAAGAAGUCAUACCCCAACCCAAGAGAAGCCUUGGACAUCUCUCAUAAGACAUCCAAGGGACAGAGCUCCUGGGAGACCUAGAGUGAGCUGGAGAGUGAACAACAUACCCCACUGGGAAGUAAGCAGCCCUGGAUUCUGCCUCUUGCUAACUGAUUCGUUUCGAACCCUGUUUUUCUAUCUGUAAAAGGGACUGUAACUCCCCUGCCCCUGCCUAGAUUCUCAUACCUGGAGACUAGGGGGCUAAGACCCCUUCUAGAGAUAAAAAUAAAAGUCUUAAAGAGAAAGACCAAGAUGUUUGGCAGCCCUUUAAGAAGUUCUCUUUUCUCUUGGGGGCUUUUAGGCCACAAGAAAAGAUUGAUGUGGUCUAACCAUGGCCAGAGAGUGGUGAUACCCACAACGAAACUCAGACUCACGUGAUGCAGAGAACUGGUUGCAGAGAGCCAUGGUGCAGAGGAGGACAGCAAGGGCAGCAGUGGAGACCUGCAUGAUUCUGAGCAGGUGACGGAAUGUGGGCUCGAGUGUCAGCAGAGCCAAGAAAGGACUGACCACUGUCUGCUGCCCG
rnacentral:lncRNA from 1 species